AGAAGCUUGAAUCAUCUUUUUCUUAGAACACAUAAAUAAUAAUAUGUUUUACUACCUACAGGGAUAUUUUUAUUGAACCAUGGGAUCCCAUUGUAUAAAACUAACUUUGCUUCAGGGCAUUAUGAGAAAGCACUGCUAGCUCUCUGUGCUGGGGAUGUGGAAGACUACUAAAUGAAGAGGAGGGUCUGAGGGACUAUUCACUCCCAUUCAUCAACACAUCCAAAUGGAGAUUUUCUGACAAAUUUCAGUUAUAACCAGCAGCAUAAUGAAACUAUAGAAUCAUACUACUCUCUCUUUUUUGUGAAGUUAUUCUAAGCUAAAAAUAAAAAUUAUCAAUGAAAGUA